CCUACGGGAGGCAGCAGUGGGGAAUAUUGCGCAAUGGGCGAAAGCCUGACGCAGCGACGCCGCGUGAGGGAUGAAGGUCUUCGGAUCGUAAACCUCUGUCAGCAGGGAAGUACGGUCACUGUGCUAAUCAUCAGUGAAUUGACGGUAUCUGCAAAGGAAGCACCGGCUAACUCCGUGCCAGCAGCCGCGGUAAUACGGAGGGUGCGAGCGUUAAUCGGAAUUACUGGGCGUAAAGCGCUCGUAGGCGGUAUGUCAAGUCAAGGGUGAAAGCCCCGCGCUCAACGUGGGAACUGCCUUUGAAACUGGCAGACUGGAGUGUGUGAGAGGAUAGUGGAAUUCCAGGUGUAGGAGUGAAAUCCGUAGAUAUCUGGAGGAACAUCAGUGGCGAAGGCGACUAUCUGGCACAUAACUGACGCUGAGGCCCGAAGGCGUGGGGAGCAAACAGGAUUAGAUACCCCUGUAGUC
rnacentral:rRNA from 1 species